rnacentral:lncRNA from 12 species
GGUGGCCGUAUAGCUUAAUGGCAGAGGAGCCCUGAAGUGCAGUGCUGGGAGCCGUGGAGCCAGCAGCAGCACACACGGACCGCCUCUCGAGUCAGGAUGCGCGGUGGCCCGAUUGAAGAGCUGUGUCCACAUCUUUGAGGAGCACUCUACUCCCUCCUGGGAGACUGGCGAGAUCAUGAGAAAGCUUGCUGCGCAGCCCUGGAACCCCAGAGCUGCACCAGCAGGGUGCCGUCUUGGUGUAGAGGGGACGAUGACGGUAGGAUGCUGCCAGCCUGGCAUGUGAUGCAGCCAGAAACAGGCAGGGGCAGCCCGGCGCAGAGUAGGUGCACAGUCACCCCUGGUGCCAGCCGCCAGCCCCAGGCCUGCUGCUGAGACCUCGGGCUUCCCUUCCCAACCUGGGGGAAGCAGGAAUGUGGCGUGAAGCAGGUGGGGAGGACUUACAUCCACCGGAGCACCCAGACCUGCGCCUCUGCUCGGAGGGGGACGGAUCCUGUCCAUCGGAGGCCCCGGCGGUGGAGAUACCUGCUGGUGAGAAGGCCAGGACAAGGAAGAGGCUGGGGACCCCCUGGGUGUGUCGCUGGGGUUUGGCCCUCCCUGGGGUAUAGACGGGGGAGGGGGGUGCGGGUGAAGGAGAGCUGGGGAUGACUGCCAAGACCACUCAGGGUGUGGGGAGAGCUGUGGCAUCGGCGGCAGACACCGUGGGGCCCCAGGACAGGUGCAGGAAUUGGUGAGGGAUGGAGGCAGACGGUAGCCACAGGUGGGCCGCUGCAAGCAGCGAGGACCUCCGUGGACACAGAACGGAGGGGACACAGCGGGGACAAGUUCUAGCGGAGCCUGCCAGGAGGAGCCUCAGCACAUCAGGGGCAUGGGGUGGGGGGGGGGGGGCUGUGACUGGGUUGCGCCCGGAAAACAUCAGGCGCCAAGGCCCUGGGGCAGGAACCAGCAUGGGGGCGGGGCAGGGGGAUGCCCUGCAGGCUGGGAGGGGACCCUCAGGAAGGGGCGUGAGGGUCUGCUCGGGAGGAAGACAGAUGGAGGCAGAGGAUCCCGGGGGAGCAGCCCUGUCUGCUGCUGGGUGGAGCCGACGGAGCCCAGGACACCUCCUUGGCGGAAACGGCUUUGGAGUUCCUGGUCAUAACCAGGAUUGCCAGAUCUAGCAAGUAAAAGUAACAAUAUGGCCCAAAUGUGGCACCGGACAGCUUCA